rnacentral:rRNA from 1 species
AUUGAACGCUGGCGGCAGGCCUAACACAUGCAAGUCGAACGAGUGGCGGACGGGUGAGUCAUGUCUGGGAAACUGCCUGAUGGAGGGGGAUAACUACUGGAAACGGUAGCUAAUCCCGACAACCAUCCGAUGUGCCCAGAUGGGAUUAGCUAGUAGGUGGGGGAAAGGCUUACCUAGGCCACGAUCCAUAGCUGGUCUUAGAGGCUGACCAGCCAAACUGGAACUGAGACACGGUCCAGACUCCUACGGGAGGCAGCAGUGGGGAAUAUUGCACAAUGGGCGCAAGCCUGACGCAGCAACGCCGCGUGUAUGAAGAAGGCCUUCGGGUUGUAAAUUACUUUUAGUGGGGAGGCGUUACCCGAACAAGAAGCACCGGCUAACUCCGUGCCAGCCGCCGCGGUAAUAC